ensembl:snoRNA small nucleolar RNA SNORD72
UUGUCUUGUCUGUGAUGUUUUAAACACAAAUGUCUGAACAAAUGAAUUUCUGUGAUUUCAUUUUCUGUGCUGAGACAAGACUUCGA